CCUACGGGAGGCAGCAGUGGGGAAUAUUGGGCAAUGGGCGCAAGCCUGACCCAGCAACGCCGCGUGAAGGAAGAAGGCUUUCCGGUUGUAAACUUCUUUUCUUAGGGACGAAGAAUGUGACGGUACCUCAGUAAUAAGCCACGUCUAACUACGUGCCAGCAGCCGCGGUAAUACGUAGGUGGCAAGCGUUAUCCGGAUUUAUUGGGUGUAAAGGGCGUGUAGGCGGGAAAGUAAGUCAGAUGUGAAAACUCAGGGCUCAACCCUGAGCCUGCAUUUGAAACUGGUUUUCUUGAGUGCUGGAGAGGCAAUCGGAAUUCCGGGUGUAGCGGUGAAAUGCGUAGAUAUACCGAGGAACACCGGUGGCGAAGGCAGAUUGCUAGACAGUAACUGACGCUGAGGCGCGAAAGCGUGGGGAGCAAACAGGAUUAGAUACCCUUGUAGUC
rnacentral:rRNA from 1 species